rnacentral:rRNA from 1 species
UACAGAGGUCUCAAGCGUUGUUCGGAUUCAUUGGGCGUAAAGGGUGCGUAGGCGGUGAGGCAAGUCUGGUGUGAAAUCCCGGAGCUCAACUCCGGAACUGCACUGGAUACUGCUUUACUAGAGUACUGGAGAGGGAACUGGAAUUUACGGUGUAGCAGUGAAAUGCGUAGAUAUCGUAAGGAAGACCAGUGGCGAAGGCGAGUUCCUGGACAGUUACUGACGCUGAGGCACGAAGGCCAGGGGAGCAAACGGG